GGAUGAACGCUGGCGGCGUGCCUAAUACAUGCAAGUCGAGCGAACAGACGAGGAGCUUGCUCCUCUGACGUUAGCGGCGGACGGGUGAGUAACACGUGGAUAACCUACCUAUAAGACUGGGAUAACUUCGGGAAACCGGAGCUAAUACCGGAUAAUAUAUUGAACCGCAUGGUUCAAUAGUGAAAGACGGUUUUGCUGUCACUUAUAGAUGGAUCCGCGCCGCAUUAGCUAGUUGGUAAGGUAACGGCUUACCAAGGCAACGAUGCGUAGCCGACCUGAGAGGGUGAUCGGCCACACUGGAACUGAGACACGGUCCAGACUCCUACGGGAGGCAGCAGUAGGGAAUCUUCCGCAAUGGGCGAAAGCCUGACGGAGCAACACCGCGUGAGUGAUGAAGGUCUUCGGAUCGUAAAACUCUGUUAUUAGGGAAGAACAAAUGUGUAAGUAACUAUGCACGUCUUGACGGUACCUAAUCAGAAAGCCACGGCUAACUACGUG
rnacentral:rRNA from 1 species